AGUGAACGCUGGCGGUAGGCCUAACACAUGCAAGUCGAACGGCAGCACAGUAAGAGCUUGCUCUUACGGGUGGCGAGUGGCGGACGGGUGAGGAAUACAUCGGAAUCUACUUUUUCGUGGGGGAUAACGUAGGGAAACUUACGCUAAUACCGCAUACGACCUACGGGUGAAAGCAGGGGAUCUUCGGACCUUGCGCGAGUGAAUGAGCCGAUGUCGGAUUAGCUAGUUGGCGGGGUAAAGGCCCACCAAGGCGACGAUCCGUAGCUGGUCUGAGAGGAUGAUCAGCCACACUGGAACUGAGACAAGGUCCAGACUCCUACGGGAGGGAGCAGUGGGGAAUAUUGGACAAUGGGCGCAAGCCUGAUCCAGCCAGACCGCGUGGGUGAAGAAGGCCUUCGGGUUGUAAAGCCAUUUUGUUGGGAAAGAAAAGCAGCAGGUUAAUACCCCGCUGUUCUGACGGUACCCAAAGAAUAAGCACCGGCUAACUUCGUG
rnacentral:rRNA from 1 species